rnacentral:sRNA from 1 species
CUAAGUACGUAAGGUUGACUAAGAAUUUCCUGUUUCUUAUAAAAUUUUAAUAUAACUAAUUGUUGAUUUUUUUUUUCUAGUAACUCUGGGUGGAUUUUAACUACAACUCUUGUCCUCUCGGUGAUGGUAUUGCUUUGGAUUUGUUGUGCAACUGUUGCUACAGCUGUGGAGCAGUAUGUUCCCUCUGAGAAGCUAAGUAUCUAUGGUGACUUGGAGUUUAUGAAUGAACAAAAGCUAAACAGAUAUCCAGCUUCUUCUCUUGUGGUUGUUAGAUCUAAAACUGAAGAUCAUGAAGAAGCAGGGCCUCUACCUACAAAAGUGAAUCUUGCUCAUUCUGAAAUUUAAGCAUUUUUCUUUUAAAAGAAAAGUGUAAUAGACAUCUAAAAUUCCACUCCUCAUAGAGCUUUUAAAAUGGUUUCAUUGGGUAUAGGCCUUAAGAAAUCACUAUAAAAUGCAAAUAAAGUUACUCAAACCUG